rnacentral:rRNA from 1 species
CCUACGGGUUGCAGCAGUGGGGAAUAUUGCACAAUGGGGGAAACCCUGAUGCAGCCAUGCCGCGUGUGUGAAGAAGGCCUUCGGGUUGUAAAGCACUUUCAGUAGGGAGGAAGGUAGUGUAGUUAACACCUGCAUUAUUUGACGUUACCUACAGAAGAAGCACCGGCUAACUCCGUGCCAGCAGCCGCGGUAAUACGGAGGGUGCGAGCGUUAAUCGGAAUUACUGGGCGUAAAGCGCAUGCAGGCGGCCUGUUAAGUCAGAUGUGAAAGCCCGGGGCUUAACCUCGGAAUUGCAUUUGAAACUGGCAGGCUAGAGUCUUGUAGAGGGGGGUAGAAUUUCAGGUGUAGCGGUGAAAUGCGUAGAGAUCUGGAGGAAUACCGGUGGCGAAGGCGGCCCCCUGGACGAAGACUGACGCUCAGGUGCGAAAGCGUGGGGAGCAAACAGGAUUAGAUACCCGGGUAGUC